rnacentral:rRNA from 1 species
GCAAGUCGAACGCGAACGUCUUCUUCGGAAGGCUAGUAGAGUGGCGCACGGGUGAGUAACGCGUAAGUAAUCUACCCUCGCAUUUGGGAUAACCCACCGAAAGGUGUGCUAAUACCGGAUACGUCUGAAAUAAUAACUUUUUUUCAGAGAAAGAUGGCCUCUUCAUGAAAGCUAUUGUGCGGGGAGGAGCUUGCGUACCAUUAGCUAGUUGGUAGGGUAAUGGCCUACCAAGGCAACGAUGGUUAGCGGGUCUGAGAGGAUGAUC